CACAUUCUCUACUCGAUUUUGUCAUAUGUUUGUUUAUAUUUGAAAUUUUUUUACAAUAUGGGUAUGGUUGAUUUAGGAAUGGUUUUAGUUUUGGGCAUUGGCAUUUAAUUUAAUUCCCUUUGCUUUGAGAUUUAUGAAAUUUGAUAUGCCGUUUGUGAUUAUUUUUAGAUCUUUUCUUUUAGUUAUAAAAUUUUGAUGGAUUCAUUUUGAUUUUGGCUACUGCAGCUGUUGUGGGGAAAGGAAUAAGACAUGUGGGCAAUUGAUUUUUUCUUAUCCUCUGGUCAGGUAUCGGAGACACAGCUGGGAGGCUCAGCAGACGUAUGACCGGGUGAGACAUCAGAUCUGCACAGGAAUCCAGAAUCAUCUGCACUGCAUUGCAUACAUGAUAGGACUUAGGAUAUAAUGUAUUUUGUACUUUUGUUAUAUUUUUGAAAUUCGGCCUUGUAUUUUGUAAUAUUAUGAAAGUCCUAAAGUUUGUAAUAUCUUGUACAUAUUAAAUAACAUGGAGAUUUUCUGGA